AGAAAACCAUGAAAGCAGGCUGAGAAUCCUGCAAGAUGUUCAAGUCAGGAUUUACAACACAGCUUAAUCCACAGAGAGUAUGGGUGACCUGAGACCAGUUCGGUGAGGACCUCAGUGAAGAUUGGGUUGGAUAACAAAAACCUGGAGCAGGAGGACACGUGGCCUGGAACACAAGAGGAGGAAAACAUGUGAGUUAAGGAGACCAAGGACUCGAAAGCCACCAGUGGGAGAAAAGAAACAUCUGUGUCGACCUGAAUGAUAUUUUAUAAUGUUAUAAUCGUUUUAAAAAUAUGUAUUUU